rnacentral:rRNA from 1 species
GGACCCUUACCUACUCUUGACAUCCAGAGAACUUAGCAGAGAUGCUUUGGUGCCUUCGGGAACUCUGAGACAGGUGCUGCAUGGCUGUCGUCAGCUCGUGUUGUGAAAUGUUGGGUUAAGUCCCGCAACGAGCGCAACCCUUAUCCUUUGUUGCCAGCGGUUCGGCCGGGAACUCAAAGGAGACUGCCAGUGANAAACUGGAGGAAGGUGGGGAUGACGUCAAGUCAUCAUGGCCCUUACGAGNAGGGCUACACACGUGCUACAAUGGCGUNUACAAAGAGAAGCGACCUCGCGAGAGCAAGCGGACCUC